AGUACUUCCACAACAACACCCAAGGACAGUGUGGUGUCUGUGGUGGGCAGUCGUGUAUACGAAGAAACGGUGUAGUUGAAGAUGACAGCUGCUGUGAUAAGACUGCAUAUGACUGGUUUGUAGAAGACCCUCUGAAACCCUACUGCAAAUCUGUGCUCCCCAAUGUUCCUUGUGGCCCUCCAACUUCACCUUCACCUCAACCACCCUGCGAUCCUACAAUAUGUGACCUACUUCACCAUGAAGUGUUUGCGGAGUGUGGUAAAAGGAUCAGUCUUACGUCC